rnacentral:rRNA from 1 species
UACGUAGGCAGCGAGCGUUGUUCGGAGUUACUGGGCGUAAAGAGUGCGUAGGCGGUUUUCUAAGUUUGGUGUGAAUCUCCCGGCUCAACUGGGAGGGUGCGCCGAAUACUGAAUGACUAGAGUGCGGGAGAGGAAAGUGGAAUUCCUGGUGUAGCGGUGAAAUGCGUAGAUAUCAGGAGGAACACCGGUGGUGUAGACGGCUUCUGGACCGUAACUGACGCUGAGACACGAAAGCGUGGGUAGCAAACAGG